GUGUUUAUUUCACAGGUUAUACUGAAACAGUUGCUGGAUGUGGCUCAAAACCUUCAGGAGAAGCGCAUCUUCCACCGCGACAUCAAGACUGAAAACAUUCUUAUCGAGAACACUCCCGACGGGCUUCAUGUACGCAUCAUCGACUUUGGCCUAAGCUGCUUCACCAAGAAAAGAUCGCUCUACAGACUGUUUUUCGGAACUCCUUCUCUGGAGCCCCCCGAAUGGCUACGCCAUCGUUGGUACCGGCCGGGCCCGACCACCGCGUGGCAAAUCGGGACGGUGCUCUUUGAAAUCCUUCACGAUGAUGUGGACUUUCAAACAGAAGGGUUCCUCAGGGAGGAGAUAAAAAUCAGCAACACAUUUUCAGACGAUUGUCGGGAUUUCCUGCAGAAGAGUCUGACUGCAGCACCUGAAGAACGGCCCACCUUGAAAGAGCUG